UCUGCAGACAAAAACUUCAGUAUGGCAAGCAGAUAAGAGUGAACCUGAAUCCUGGUGCAUUAACAUUACAGCUUUUUAGUAAAUGCUCUGAUCAUUCAUACCUUAUUUUAUUUGAGAUGAAACUAAUGCACUCUGUGUGAGGCUGCCCUGGAGAAGCAUUUGGAAAAGUGAAGUUAAGGUCUGGCUUGACUAUGUCACUUUUUUCUCAUUCAACCUCCCUGCAUGGUUACUCAGCAUGUCUUCAGGUACAGCGGGCUUCAAGGAGAUGAUACAGGGAAGGGAGUGGCCUCUGUGCUUUGCCCCAGCAAAGGGAGUCAGCAGGUAUUGUACCAAAGGAGAGCAUCAUUUUCAUUUAUGACUUUCUCCCUGGAGGAAGAAACUUGUGAAACUUUACACAGAACCUUCCAGCUUAUGUAAUGAUAGAGAAUGGAACUACAUUAUUUCCUGCUU